AGAGGGACAAACUUCUUGAGUUGAGCUUGCGCCUUCGAGGCUGUUUCUGAAGAAGGCGAAAGUGGCCCGUACUGCAUUGUGGGAUGCUGGAUUUGAAGCAUGCGCAAAAGGCUCUAGCCGGCAGUCACUAGAACACUCCUUGGAGACCGCUGCUUAUGAGAGGAUAGGACAGAUUACCUACCUGCUAGAUACCCAGAGCUGGAGCACACUACGUCCUCUUGUGGCUGGGAGAUCAUCCCAGAUCCGGCAAACCAAGAUUCCUGCAAUGUUUCGGUCCCUGUUCCCGGGCGCAGCGUUGGAGGUGAGGGUGGGGCUUGCAGAAUGAGUGACUCAACAUCUACUACCAUUCUGACCGGUCUCAUUUGUGUGGGACACAUCUGUCGUCACGGUGGUGAGGGCUAAAUAAAAUACCGAUGACAGUUUUUAAAUGGAGGCUCUGCAUAUAAAUGAACGAUUAUUGUAAAUGCAGUGGAGCUCAGCGUGAUUGCCUGGGAAACCAGACGCGGCUUAGACUUUGGUUCUGAGCUUCCAGCAAAGUGUGGGAUCUCUGCGAACGGAUUGGAGAAGAGAAGCUUUCUGCGGUUGCAGCAGCAAUAAAGGCAGGUGGUGGAACCACUGAGCUAAAUCCCUGGCCCCUACGAUGUAAUCUUUAUUGGGAGAAAUGUGAUCAACAGCAGCUGUACAGAUUGUGUGCCAAGAAACAAUUCCCAGAAAACAGGCUAUGGUUACUCAAUCGUGGUGUUCAUGAUGCAGAAUGGCUUUAGUGAGGUCAAGUGGAUUCCUACAAAGGAAGAAAGCAAGAAUGAAACAAGAGAGAAAGAAAGG